UUACGGUCAUAUCACAUUCAAACACCAGUUCCCGUACAAUCACCGACGUUAAGCAACGUCGAGCCUGGUCAGUACCUAGAUGUCCGCUGGGGAAUACCAGGUGCC